rnacentral:rRNA from 1 species
UCAGGAGGUUAGUGCAAUGGCAUAAGCCAGCUUGACUGCGAGCGUGACGGCGCGAGCAGGUGCGAAAGCAGGUCAUAGUGAUCCGGUGGUUCUGAAUGGAAGGGCCAUCGCUCAACGGAUAAAAGGUACUCCGGGGAUAACAGGCUGAUACCGCCCAAGAGUUCAUAUCGACGGCGGUGUUUGGCACCUCGAUGUCGGCUCAUCACAUCCUGGGGCUGAAGUAGGUCCCAAGGGUAUGGCUGUUCGCCAUUUAAAGUGGUACGCGAGCUGGGUUUAGAACGUCGUGAGACAGUUCGGUCCCUAUCUGCCGUGGGCGCUGGAGAACUGAGGGGGGCUGCUCCUAGUACGAGAGGACCGGAGUGGACGCAUCACUGGUGUUCGGGUUGUCAUGCCAAUGGCACUGCCCGGUAGCUAAAUGCGGAAGAGAUAAGUGCUGAAAGCAUCUAAGCACGAAACUUGCCCCGAGAUGAGUUCUCCCUGAGACUUUAAGUCUCCUGAAGGAACGUUGAAGACGACGACGUUGAUAGGCCGGGUGUGUAAGCGCAGCGAUGCGUUGAGCUAACCGGUACUAAUGAACCGUGAGGCUUAACCUUAC